rnacentral:lncRNA from 1 species
CUGGCUCGGGGCCCACAGUUCUGGUGGAAGGCAGAGGGUUCCAGGACUCUCCUCUCCCCUCCUUCCCGCCCCGACUCUCCCUCCCUCCCUGCCUCCGCGCCCCAUUUACGCGACCCUGCUGACGGAGUUUACCCGGGAGGGACAGGCUGAGCGCUGGAGGUGGGGGGCGGAGGGAAGGGCCGCGGGAGCCCAGCCGGUCCCACCCCCAGCCUCAACCCCGGGCAGGAAGAGCUUGGUCGCGGGAGCCGCCGCUGAAAGGGACGGAGCUCGGGAGGGAGGGUGCCCGGACCGCGGGCUAGACCUCUCCUCUCCUCCCUCCCGGAGGCAGAGGUUCCCAGAUGUGGAUGUAACAUGGAUCCCAGAUGUGACCAAUCUGGACUCAGCAGUGUGGCUUGCAGGUACUGGGACAUCCUCUCACCCAUCCAGAUCUACAGCCCCGGCUCCUUCCCUACCUGCUCCUUUUCUUUGGUGCCUUUCUUUUCUGCCCCACCCCUCUCUGGCCUGUCACUUCUGCUCCUCAAGUGCACUGGGACAGCCUGCGUGGAUAGCAAGCUUUCCCCUGGCCAGGCCCAGUGUUCACUGUCUGCUUUUACAUCUGGGAGUGGUUUAAAUGUCCUGCAUUUCUGUGGCCUCAGAGAUACACCUCUUUGUUCUCCACCAAGCCUCUGGAAGGCCUACAUCCUUCUGUCUCCUUACAUCCUGGGCUGUCUUACUGAGUGCUGGGACUGGAGACACUCCAGGGCAAUGGUGACAUUUUAUGGAUGAAACAUUGAGGGCCUGCCUGAAAACUCAGGGUCAGAUAGGCUUGGGUGGUGGGGCUGGAUCUGAACCCAGGACUCUGGGCUCCCUGCCUCACACUCUUGAUGUUGUAGGUGGCCUCUUACAGGGGUCUUGGUGGGGUGCUGCUGCUCUGCAGACCCUAGCCCUUGGGGAUGGGAGAUAAUCCAGGAGGAAGACGGUGGGCUUUUAGAUGAAAUGGCCUGCUACUGUGUGGGGCUGGACGUUGGACUGCCAGGUCACAGCUCGUCUCUCACAAGCUUAUCCUGCUUGGGCCUCUCAGUUCCACCCCCAAUCCCAUCCAAGGUCGCUCUCUUUGGUCAAAUUCCCCUGCCUUAUCUCUUGCUGGUAGGCAUGUACAGGCUCUGUCUGCCUGAGACUGCUUUCCCUGCAGUCACACACACACACACACACGCACACACACACGCACCCCUUCUGUUUGCAGCUGCCCCCCAUCCUAAAUGGUCAAAGCCGUGGGUGGGGGAGGCCCAGAACAUAGCCAGUAGGAGGUCAAUCAUGCUGGGAAAUGCCUCCCUCAGCCCCUUAGACCUGCCUGCCAUCAGCAGUUUUUCUAAUUCUGACUAGGGGUGUGUGUGCCCAGAGAACAGAUGUACAGGGUGCAGGAGCCCAGCUGUUGUAAGUGUAACAAACUUCAGAAUCUGGGAGAGGGUAGCUUAACAAGAGGAGCCUUUUGGGUUCUUAAUUUUUUUGUUACCAUGAAAAAUAGCACUCACUCUAGCAUGGGGCAGAAUUUUCUGACAUGCCCAGCUCCUCUGCUGCCUGCUUAAAUCCUAGGUUGGCUUCUCUAGGCCUGUCAAUUCCAACUCCCACUGCUGCCUCCCCCAGGGUUCCUGGGGCCAUGGAUCCUCACACACUCUAGGCUCCCACUUGGAGUAUUGCUAAAUGAGCACAGGGGAUCUCUCACUUCCCUUUCCCAGCCCCCAUUUCCCUGGGGAAAGACAUUGCUGAGGUGGGAGGGAAUUCUGGGUAACUCCUUCCCUUAUCACACAGAUGAACAGAAAAGAAAUUUUGGAGAGAACAGGGAAGGUGGGAAGGAUAAGCUUUUGUCCCAGGGCACAGGAGAUCUGGGUUUGAUGUGCUGUUACCAAAAUGUGGCCCAGAUAGAGGUAUGUGGUGGUGGAGUGAAAUUGGAGUUUUCUACAUUGUAAUAUGCCCUCCCCCAGGGGAGUGAACCCAGGGAGUUCUGAGCCACAUCCCCAGCCCUUAUUUUAUUUUGGAACAGAGUCUCACUAAAUUGCUGAGGCUAGCUUUGAACUUGUGAUUCUCUUUCCUCAGCCUUCUGAGUAGCUGAGAUUACAGACAUGUGCUGCCAUGCCCAGCUCUAACCAAGUGACCUGGGUCAAAUAAUUUGC